rnacentral:hammerhead_ribozyme from 1 species
AAGUUGACGAAUCCCAAAUAGGACGAAAUGCGCAUCCUGGAU